rnacentral:lncRNA from 1 species
UCCCGCCUCUUUCACUCAACCCGCCAAUCAGGCUGCGGGAACGCUGCCGUGGUAGCCAAUAAGAAGACAGAAUGCCGUUGCACUACGCUAGAGGGCGGGAGGAGGCGGAGAGGAAACCAAGGAGUGAACGGGGAUCGGGCGGCCCAAUGAGGAGGGCCGGGGGGCGGAGGUGUGCAAGUUGGGUUGAAGAAACAGGAAAUAUUCUUAAAGGAGUUUGGAAGUGGAAAAAUUGAAAAGGAAGAGGGCACGGAAGUCUUUCGGAAUAGUUAGCCCCUCUUAACGUGGAGGGCAGGAAGGUGAGAAGAUACGUCUUAGUAAAUGUGGAGAAGAAAGAAUCAGACGUUUCCGACUUCUCGAUAACUGGAAGAUUGUUGCUGACUUGACGCUGCUCGCAUUCGUAGGCUGUGGUCUCUUGUCAUCCUUUAUUUGCAACAACACACAGAUUUCUGUGAAUUGGAGAUGGCCAUGUUCAGAAAUGCCCUGGGGGCCUCCCAGCUGGGACAAGGGAGUUUGGCAUUGGGGGAUGGGGUUUGAGAUCUCAAGCCUGGGUUACUAAAUACCUGGAUCUAGGAGAGGUAGGGCCAGGGGUCACGAAAUGGAGACCUGAGUGCCCCUUAACUCCAGGAUCUGUGUGGAGCCCUUGGAACCGUGAUCACAACUCCCUCUUCCUAGUUUCGCUUCAUAUUUUAUAACCUCCUGCUGAAACAGGUGUCCUCCACCUAGUUGCGGUUAUAGAUUUCCAAGCCCUUCCACAACCAGAUUUGGAAAUAUCCCAGAUCUUAGAUGUCCGUGGGCUAACUUCCAGAAGGUGCACACAGGGCAUGGCAUAAUGGGAAUUACUUGAGCCUGUAUACAGAAGCAGCAGACAUCGCAUUGAGCAAAAGGGUAAAGGCUAACAGUAACGGAGUCUUAUGUUUGUACAGCAGAUUGAAAAGCUAUGAUGAAACGGAAGGCCUGUAAUGUUGCUUAUAAACUGUGGUACUAAUAAACAGGCUAGAAAUUUUCUUUAACUCAUCCAUCUAGGCACACGAAGUUCUAAUUAGCCUUUGAACAGACUUGGCACAUCCAAAUCAAAACUGCAGAUAAGAAAGAUUCUACGAGUCAGAGCCAUAAUAGCAAUGCUAAUAACAUCACCAUAAAAUUGUAUAGUAUUGGUAUGCUCAGCCAUAGGA